GAUGAACGCUGGCGGCGUGCCUAAUACAUGCAAGUCGAGCGAACGGACGCUGCGCUUGCUUCUCUCUUGUUAGCGGCGGACGGGUGAGUCACACGUGGAUCACCUCCCUAUAAGACUGGUAUCACUUCGGGAAACCGGAUCUAAUACCGGAUAAUCUUUUGAACCGCAUUGUUCAAAAGUGAAAGACGGUCUUGCUGUCACUUCUCGCUGGAUCCGGGCUGGAUUAGCUAGUUGGUAAGGUAACGGCUUACCAAGGAAACGAUGCCUAGACGACCUGAGAGAGGGAUCGGCGACACGGGAACGGAGACACGGACAAGACGACUACGGGAGGCAGCAGUAGGGAAUCGGACGCAAUGGGCGAGAGUCUGACGGAGCAACGGCGAGUGAGUGACGAAGGUGUUAGGAUCGUAAAAAUGGGUUAUGAGGGAAGAACAGAUGUGGAAGGAAAUGUGCACAGAGUGACGGUAACUAAUCAGAAAGCAACGGCUAACUACGUG
rnacentral:rRNA from 1 species